GACAGAGGGUGCAAACGUUGUUCGGAUUUACUGGGCGUAAAGCGCGUGUAGGCGGCUUGGCAAAUCAGAUGUGAAAGCCCACGGCUCAACCGUGGAAGCGCAUCCGAAACGGCCUCGCUCGAGUCUCGGAGAGGAAGGUGGAAUGCUUGGUGUAGAGGUGAAAUUCGUAGAUAUCAAGCAGAACACCUGCGGCGAAGGCGGCCUUCUGGACGAUGACUGACGCUGAGACGCGAAAGCGUGGGGAGCAAACAGG
rnacentral:rRNA from 1 species